CUAAGUGGUGGUGGGGCGGCGAGGGCGACACGGCAGUCAGCUGGGAGACUUCCUCGGAUCACCAUGUUCAGCUCCAGGAAGGCGUUGGUGAUGGUGGUGUUGGUGAUGGUGAUGAUGGCGGGGAUGGUAGAACCCUCACCAGUAUACGGCUACUAUCGGAGGAGCUCCUACAGGCCUAGAUGGAAAAGUUAUCGCGGUUUCACGUCUCGCAGAAGGUCUUCCAAGACGUGUUGUUGGUAUGGCUUUGACUCUGAUGGAUACUCCAGGAACGGUCGUGACUUGAGCAACCAGGCGCCUGACUUCACCCAGCUCACGGCAAUGUAACUUUUACCCCGUGUUUGACCCUCCACCACUGCCAACCAGUGAGAUGUGACGACGGUAGUGUGAGGUGACGAUGACGUAGUCCAAGGACUGUCAACACCAACAGGUCUUCAGUGUACAGUUAUUAUCAAAUUUCUCUUCUAAACCAACAGCUAUAAAUCUGUUUAUAGAUAAAUAUUGAUGUUUAGCGUCUUUAAUGAUCCAUAAUACGCGUUUUAAGAUCUUAAAUCUUGUAACGCACCAAUGCAUUAUUGUAACAUUAACAUCAUGACAGACAGUUUUACUGGUACAAAUAUGUACAUCACAAAACAGUAUGUAAAAAAAAUACAAUACCAACAAUGUCUAAGUUCUUUUUUCCGGGUGUGUUUUUUAUAUUUUUUUACUGCUUAAGUUAAUUCUUAUUUGUUUCCUUUCAUUUAGACAUGAGUCCAAGUUAUAUGUCCAUUAAAACAGACUGAGUAUGUGUCUAUGUCAGUAUUGUAGUGAAGUGACAUUAAUCAUCUCUGAUAAAUUAAGGUAAUCAUCGCAUCACUGUAUUAGGAAUGCUCUGUUAAGUUAAGACUCAUUAGCUCUCAUUAUUUUAGGAAUGCUCUGUUAAAUUAAGAUUUUCAUUACAUCACUGUUAAUGGAAUGCUCUGUUAAAUUAAGAAUUGCACAAAAUUUUACUGUUCUAGGAAUGCUCUCUGUUAAUUUAACUCGUUAGAUUUCACUGUUCUGGGAAUGCUCUCUUAAAUUAAGAUUUUUCAUUGCAUUACUGUUCUAGGAAUGCUCUCUGUUAUACUAAGACUUUCAUCAGAUUUCACUGUUUUAAUAUACACAUAGAUGUUAAGAGAAGCUCAUUUGUGAACCAAGUCUUCAUAACUUCACCAGAAGAAUCAAGCUCUGUUUUUAUAAUGGAAUACCUCGGUGUUCCAGGGUUAUAUUACAUGUGAAAAUAUUCUUGUUUACGUGUGGUCACUUUAUACUACCUGUGCAUUGUAUCAGCUUAGCAUUAAUAAAUAUAAAAAACAACAACCGUUAUAUCAUGUAAAUAACUUAUUAAUGGACAUAUAGUUAUUAAGAAUGUUUACGAGUGUAAUAGUAUAAGGCAUAGUUCAGAAAUAUCAUAAGGUUUCACAUCCUUGGUUACCUUUUUCAAAUACAAAACAUGUGAUAAUUAUUCUUUUCUUUUAUCAUAAUCAGUGAUGUAGUAUUCCUAACAUGGUAAUUAUUAAGGGAUGUGUCUCUAUAUCCAUAUUAUUGUUGUUGUAAUAUGACUACGCUUCAACAACGAAGGCUGGUAAUUAUAUUAAUUUAACAAAUUUGAAAAAGAUUAUGAGAGCUAGACCAUCAUUGAUUUAGCCAUAUAUAACAGUCAGUGUAUAACGUCUAUGUGACUCGAUGACAACAUGAGGACUGAGGAGCCUAGAGUAACUAGUCAAAUGAGUCACUAAAGUUACGUAGAUAAACACCAGAAUAUGACUUUGAAAUUUCUGAUAUUUUGGAAUAUAACUAAUGUGACAUUAUUAACGUACCAUCAUGUAUUACAAUAUACUGGUAAUAAUAAUGUCAUGCUUUUAACAUGCUCACCUUUUCUGCUCUCUGCUGUACCUUCACUAUGAUGUGCACUGGAGCAUCUUAAAAUGUAGUGUACAGUACGUGUUGAGCUGAAGCCUAGUCACCAUCCAACACAUUCACAUGGAAACCCAUCCUUUCUUUCACUCUCUUCUUAGAUCUAAGGCCGUCACUGGCUCUUUCCACCUCCAACAUGACUUCCAUUUGGGCGUCUACCCUUGGCGUGUUGGUAUUACUUAUCAAAAAGAUAAUUAUAAAAUGACAGAAUCUUGAUGUAUUUAAUCUUAUAGUUUAAAUGAAAAUAAAAACAAUUAUAACAAAA